AUUGAACGCUGGCGGCAGGCCUAACACAUGCAAGUCGAACGAGUGGCGGACGGGUGAGUAAUGUCUGGGAACCUGCCUGAUGGAGGGGGAUAACUACUGGAAACGGUAGCUAAUACCGCAUACCAUCAGAUGUGCCCAGAUGGGAUUAGCUAGUUGGUGGGGUAACGGCUCACAAAGGCGACGAUCCCUACCAGGUCUGAGAGGAUGACCAGCCACACUGGAACUGAGACACGGUCCAGACUCCUACGGGAGGCAGCAGUGGGGAAUAUUGCGCAAUGGACGAAAGCCUGAUGGAGCCAUGCCGCGUGUAUGAAGAAGGUCUUCGGGUUGUAAAGUACUUUCGGCGGGGAGGCGUUACCCGAAGAAGAAGCACCGGCUAACUCCGUGCCAGCAGCCGCGGUAAUAC
rnacentral:rRNA from 1 species